AUUGAACGCUGGCGGCAGGCCUAACAAAUGCAAGUCGAACGAGUGGCGGACGGGUGAGUAAUGUAUGGGAAACUGCCUGAUGGAGGGGGAUAACAACUGGAAACGGUAGAUAAUACCGCAUACCAUCGGAUGUGCCCAGAGGGGAUUAGCUAGUAGGUGGGGUAACGUCUCACCUAGGCGACGAUCCCUAGCUGGUCUGAGAGGAUGACCAGCCACACUGGAACUGUGACACGGUCCAUACUCCGACGGGAGGCAGCAGGGGGGAAUAUUGCACAAUGGGCGCAAGCCUGAUGCAGCCAUGCCGCUGGUAUGAAGAAGGCCUUCGGGUUGUAAAGUACUUUCAGCGGGGAGGCGUUACCCGCAGAAGAAGCACCGGCUAACUCCGUGCCAGCAGCCGCGGUAAUAC
rnacentral:rRNA from 1 species